rnacentral:tRNA from 1 species
GCAGAUGUAGUUCAAUGGUAGAGCUUUAGCCUUCCAAGUUGACUAUGUGGGUUCGAUUCCCGACAUCCGCU